ACGACCUUACUUGAACAGGAUCUGUUCUAUAGGCUCGUACCUCUGUAUCCUUUAGCACAAAGGAGACAGGAUCUCAAGUCUGGUUGAUGAACCACGACCUUGUGAUCAGAGCGUGAUUAACUGCUUCCUGCUCUUGACCAAGACCAGACAGCGGUAGAGGAUCGUUCUCAGCUAGUGCUUUGGCUGGGAUGGUCACAAGGUUGUCUGACAGACU
rnacentral:snoRNA from 1 species